rnacentral:rRNA from 1 species
AGUGAACGCUGGCGGUAGGCCUAACACAUGCAAGUCGAACGGCAGCACAGUAAGAGCUUGCUCUUACGGGUGGCGAGUGGCGGACGGGUGAGGAAUACAUCGGAAUCUACUUUUUCGUGGGGGAUAACGUAGGGAAACUUACGCUAAUACCGCAUACGACCUACGGGUGAAAGCAUGGGAUCUUCGGACCUUGCGCGAUUGUAUGAGCCGAGGUCGGAUUAGCUAGUUGGCGGGGUAAAGGCCCACCAAGGCGACGAUCCGUAGCUGGUCUGAGAGGAUGAUCAGCCACACUGGAACUGAGACACGGUCCAGACUCCUACGGGAGGCAGCAGUGGGGAAUAUUGGACAAUGGGCGCAAGCCUGAUCCAGCCAUACCGCGUGGGUGAAGAAGGCCUUCGGGUUGUAAAGCCCUUUUGUUGGGAAAGAAAAGCAGCAGGUUAAUACCCCGCUGUUCUGACGGUACCCAAAGAAUAAGCACCGGCUAACUUCGUG